AAAUUGAGCAUAAUACCCCAUAGCUCUAGAUUGCUGGAAUGCUUUUAGAGUAAAAGCCCCGGCGCCUAAGGAUGAGUCUGCGGCCUAUCAGGUUGUAGUGAGUGUAACGGACUCACUAGCCGACGACGGGUACGGGUCCUGGAAGGGAGAGCCCGGAGAUGGACUCUGAGACACGAGUCCAGGCCCUACGGGGCGCAGCAGCUACGAAAACUUCACAAUGCGGGAAACCGUGAUGAGGGGAUUCCAAGUGCUAAUACUUUGUAUUAACUGUUUACUUGCCUAAAAAGCAGGUAGAGUAAGGGCUGGGUAAGACUGGUGCCAACCGCCGCGGUAAUACCAGCAGCCCAAGUGGUGAUCGCUAUUAUUGGGCCUAAAGCGUCCG
rnacentral:rRNA from 1 species